rnacentral:rRNA from 1 species
CCUACGGGUGGCUGCAGUCGAGAAUCAUUCACAAUGGGGGAAACCCUGAUGGUGCGACGCCGCGUGGGGGAAUGAAGGUCUUCGGAUUGUAAACCCCUGUCAUGUGGGAGCAAAUCAAAAAGAUAGUACCACAUGAGGAAGAGACGGCUAACUCUGUGCCAGCAGCCGCGGUAAUACAGAGGCCUCAAGCGUUGUUCGGAAUCACUGGGCGUAAAGCGUGCGUAGGCUGUUUCGUAAGUCGUGUGUGAAAGGCGCGGGCUCAACCCGCGGAUGGCACAUGAUACUGCGAGACUAGAGUAAAGGAGAGGGAGCCGGAAUUCUCGGUGUAGCAGUGAAAUGCGUAGAUAUCGAGAAGAACACUCAUGGCGAAGGCAGGUUCCUGGACAGUAACUGACGCUGAGGCACGAAGGCCAGGGGAGCGAAAGGGAUUAGAUACCCUUGUAGUC